AGUGAACGCUGGCGGCAGGCCUAACACAUGCAAGUCGAGCGGCAGCGCGUCCGACCACCCUCGGGUGGUCGGAUGGCGGCGAGCGGCGGACGGGUGAGGAAUGCAUCGGAAUCUGCCUCGUUGUGGGGGAUAACGUAGGGAACUUACGCUAAUACCGCAUACGACCUACGGGUGAAAGUGGGGGACCGUUCGGGCCUCACGCGAUGAGAUGAGCCGAUGCCGGAUUAGCUAGUUGGCGGGGUAAAGGCCCGACCAAGGCGACGAUCCGUAGCUGGUCUGAGAGGAUGAUCAGCCACACUGGAACUGAGACACGGUCCAGACUCCUACGGGAGGCAGCAGUGGGGAAUAUUGGACAAUGGGGGGCAACCCUGAUCCAGCCAUGCCGCGUGUGUG
rnacentral:rRNA from 1 species